rnacentral:rRNA from 1 species
UACUAGCGGUCCAAGUCGUAGCCAUUUUUAUUGGGUCUAAAACAUCCGUAGCCUGUUUGAUAAGUUUCUUGUGAAAUCCGGCUUCUUAAAAGCU